UCAACGUACUUAACAGGCGGGACCCUCUCACAGUCAAGAAGCUUUGGAUUAUCUGCAGUAGUUGACUUGAGCUGAGCGGCCAAGCUGAGCCUUGAACUUCCGAGCCCUGAAACUUCAGUAGGGCAACCUUUGUUCAUUUCUUUUCCAUUAAACGUUGUUUUCGUUUGUAAACUAAAUUUUUUUAGAUAUGCUUUGUUAUCGCCCAUGUUAGGGUUGAAUGCAAGGCCGAAUGCCUAUUAUGUAAAUUGUGUGUUACUACA